GGGGAGCAAUGUGUGUAUGUGGGGGCAGUGCGUGUGUAUGUGGGGGCAGUGCGUGUGUAUGAGGGGCAGUUUGUGUGUAUGGCGGGCAGUUUGUGUGUGUAUGGGGGGCAGUGUGUAUAUGUGGGGCAGUAAGUAUGUGGGGCAGUAUGUGUGUAUGUGGGGGCAGUGUGUGUGUAUGGGGGGCAGUAUGUGUGUGUAUGGGGGGCAGUAUGUGUGUGUAUGAGGGGCAGUGUGUGUGUAUGAGGGGCAGUGUGUGUGUAUGGGGGGCAGUGUGUGUGUAUAGGGGGCAGUAUGUGUGUAUAGGGGCUGUUUGUGUGAAUGGGGGGCAGUUUGCGU